GAUGAACGCUGGCGGCGUGCUUAACACAUGCAAGUCGAACGGAGUACUAGUGACAGAGGAUUCGUCCAAUGGAUCUAGUUACUUAGUGGCGGACGGGUGAGUAACGCGUGAGGAACCUGCCUUGGAGUGGGGAAUAACACAGUGAAAAUUGUGCUAAUACCGCAUAAUGCAGUUGGGUCGCAUGGCUCUGACUGCCAAAGAUUUAUCGCUCUGAGAUGGACUCGCGUCUGAUUAGCUUGUUGGUGAGGUAACGGCCCACCAAGGCGACGAUCAGUAGCCGACCUGAGAGGGUGAUCGGCCACAUUGGAACUGAGACACGGUCCAAACUCCUACGGGAGGCAGCAGUGGGGAAUAUUGGGCAAUGGAGGCAACUCUGACCCAGCAACGCCGCGUGAAUGAUGAAGGUCUUCGGAUUGUAAAGUUCUUUUCUAAGGGACGAAGAAAGUGACGGUACCUUAGGAAUAAGCCUCGGCUAACUACGUGCCAGCAGCCGCGAUAAUACGUAGGAGGCAAGCGUUAUCCGGAAUGACUGGGCGUAAAGGGUGCGUAGGUGGUUCAGCAAGUUGGCAGCGUAACUCCGAGGCUCAACCUCGGCACUACUGCCAAAACUGUCGGACUUGAGUGCAGUAGGGGCAAUUGGAAUUCCUAGUGUAGCGGUGGAAUGCGUAGAUAUUAGGAGGAACACCAGUGGCGAAGGCGAAUUGCUGGACUGUAACUGACACUGAGGCACGAAAGCGUGGGGAGCAAACAGGAUUAGAUACCCUGGUAGUCCACGCUGUAAACGAUGAAUACUAGGUGUAGGGGGUAUCGACUCCCUCUGUGCCGCCGCUAACGCAUUAAGUAUUCCGCCUGGGGACUACGGCCGCAAGGUUGAAACUCAAAGAAAUUGACGGGGACCCGCACAAGCAGCGGAGCAUGUGGUUUAAUUCGACGCAACGCGAAAAACCUUACCAGGCCUUGACAUCGAGUGAAAGUCCAAGAGAUUGGACCCUCCUUCGGGACACGAAGACAGGUGCUGCAUGGUUGUCGUCAGCUCGUGUCGUGAGAUGUUAGGUUAAGUCCUGCAACGAGCGCAACCCUCAUAUACAGUUGCCAUCAUUCAGUUGGGAACUCUGUAUAGACUGCCAUUGUAAGAUGGAGGAAGGUGGGGAUGACGUCAAAUCAUCACGGCCCUUACGGCCUGGGCUACACACGUGCUACAAUGGCUAUUACAAAGAGUUGCAAUAUGGUGACAUGGAGCGAAUCUCAAAAAGAUAGUCUCAGUUCAGAUUGUGGGCUGCAACCCGCCCACAUGAAGCAGGAGUUGCUAGUAAUCCCGAAUCAGCAUGUCGGGGUGAAUGCGUUCCCGGGUCUUGUACACACCGCCCGUCACGCCAUGGGAGUCGGGAGUACCCAAAGUCGGUGACCUAACCGCAAGGAAGGAGCCGCCUAAGGUAAUACCGAUGACUGGGGUGA
rnacentral:rRNA from 1 species